UGCAACAACCCUCAUGAGAGAGAAAGAGACUAAUUUGAGAAAAAAAAUUACACAAAAUUGAAUCUUGAAAGAAAUUAAAAAUCAGCCCUUUUUAAUAGUUUCUUCGAUUAUGUGAUCUCGAUUUUUUAUUUGAUGUGUAAUUGGAGAGGAAGAGGGGUUAGAGAGAGAAAGGAAAGCUGUGUGAACAUUGAGAGAGAGAAAGCUUCCAAAAAAAGUGAUGAUUGUGAUGAGAUGCACAACACAGCAGAAGGGAGAAGAGAUGGAUGGAUAUAGGUGGCUAGGGUAACAAUGAAUCGCAGCUUAGUUGGCAAAAAAGUUUCUCCGUCAUAUAUUCUAUGAUGAACCAUUGUUAACUUUUUUAGAAAAAAAUUUGGCUAGUUUCUAUAUAAAUAUAGAGAGAAUUGGAGACCAAUAGAAAAAGAGAGUGAUGAGGUGGAAUGUUUUGUCUUUUUCUAUAUGUACAUGUCACACCACUUAUGCCACAUAAUGUCCACAUAAGUAAAUGAUUUUUAUGACCAAGUUUUAAGAUACUAAGCCUCCGCAAUGGAAGUCCAUCGCAGGGCCGAUGCGAAGCCUAUAUACCAUCGGCUGGGGCGAUUGAUCGGGCAUGGGGCGAAGCCGAAAGGGAUGAGAGAUAGGCCCCCUUGCGAUCGGCCCUCAUUGCUAGUGCUAUCUCCUUGUGAUCGGCUCCCAUUGCUAGUGCUAUAAGCGAUAAGAGAUUAAAUCAUCAUUUUAUAUUUUUUAUUAUUUUUAAAUUUGUAAAUAAAUGUAAAGUUGAAAAGGUGACCACAUUAGAGAUAAGGCGUGAAAUCAUCAUUUUAUUAUUAUUUUUAGUGUUUAAGAAAAUUGGUUUCAUCGAA